GACAGAGUGGCCUAGUGGCUACGGCGUCACGCUGGGUGCUUCGCUCUCAGCCGUGACACGACGAGUUCGACUCUCGUCCCUGUCG